rnacentral:rRNA from 1 species
UACGAAGGGGACUAGCGUUGUUCGGAAUCACUGGGCGUAAAGCGCACGUAGGCGGAUGUGUCAGUCAGGGGUGAAAUCCCGGGGCUCAACCUCGGAACUGCCUUUGAUACAGCACGUCUCGAGUCCGGAAGAGGUGGGUGGAAUUCCUAGUGUAGAGGUGAAAUUCGUAGAUAUUAGGAAGAACACCGGUGGCGAAGGCGGCCCACUGGUCCGGUACUGGACGCUGAGGUGCGAAAGCGUGGGGAGCAAACAGG